AUGUUAGAUUUUACUACGUACCGUUAAGUGAUCAAUCGAGUGAGCUAAAAAUACAUACACAAAAUAUUGAUGCAUCUAAGAGACAUCAAACAAUAAUUCUUAAUUUAUGAAUGAGAAUUUUUCAUUAUAAAGUGAUCGACCAAAUUAUUAUCUACAAUAUGCAAAAGAGAAAAAAAAUAUGGUUAAAAUUCACAAAUUCAUUUAUACUUUUGUCACCUUUCUUUCUAUAAUUGUUCUCGUAACCAGCUAUCGUCUUAAGUAUUGCAUGACUGGCAAUGAUUGCCCUGCAAUUCUGUGCUCCCCUCCUACUAUUUCCAAGUGCGUUCGGCACACAUGUUACUGCGCGUCGCAAAAGCGUAAAAAAAAAGUUAAAAAGUAAUUGUUUGUUUUUUUAUUUAUAAUGAAGUUGAGGAUCGAAAUCUUUCACUGUUAAACUAAAUUUAGUGAUUUCUUUUUUCAAUAAAGUGGUUUAAUUCUGUUAUUUUUAAACGUAUAAUUUUCUUGUAAGUCAUAAUGUUUUUUUUUUUUGACACAAUUGUAAGUCAUAAUGUUGGUACUUAAAGAAUACACAUCUUUUAGAUUUUA